AGUGAGGAUAAUAUCUUGGAUUAUUGAGGGUUUGGGAUAGCCUAUAAAAAUGGACAAUUUCUAUGUAUACAUGUAUACGUUUAUAUAUAUGCAUAUGUCUAUGUAUAUAUGUGUGUGUAUAGACACGCAUACAUACAUGCAUAUACAUAUACAUAUAUACAUAUGUAAAUAUAUAUGUUUCUAUUUAUAUACAUAUAUUGC
rnacentral:lncRNA from 1 species